GACGAACGCUGGCGGCGUGCUUAACACAUGCAAGUCGAACGGAAAGGCCCUGCUUUUGUGGGGUGCUCGAGUGGCGAACGGGUGAGUAACACGUGAGUAACCUGCCCUUGACUUUGGGAUAACUUCAGGAAACUGGGGCUAAUACCGGAUAGGAGCUCCUGCUGCAUGGUGGGGGUUAGAAAGUUUCGGCGGUUGGGGAUGGACUCGCGGCUUAUCAGCUUGUUGGUGGGGUAGUGGCUUACCAAGGCUUUGACGGGUAGCCGGCCUGAGAGGGUGACCGGCCACAUUGGGACUGAGAUACGGCCCAGACUCCUACGGGAGGCAGCAGUGGGGAAUAUUGCACAAUGGGCGGAAGCCUGAUGCAGCAACGCCGCGUGCGGGAUGACGGCCUUCGGGCUGUAAACCGCUUUCGCCUGUGACGAAGCGUGAGUGACGGUAAUGGGUAAAGAAGCACCGGCUAACUACGUG
rnacentral:rRNA from 1 species